AUGCAUCUACACAGUCAGGAUCGUUGCACCAAGGCUUUGGUUGGUGCUGGCCCCCGGCGCUGUGAGUCAGAGGGCCUUUGGGAGGUUGACUGGCUUUGUGUUCCUUCCGCUGCCACCACUUCUGUCAGCUCUCAUGCUCUUGCCGCCUCUUCGUCAGCGUCCUUCCAGCAGUGGCAUCAUCGCCUUGGUCACAUCUGUGGCUCUCGCUUGUCUUCUUUAGUUUGUCAGGGCCUCUUAGGGUCUGUAUCUGGAGAUGUUUCUUUACAUUGUAAUGGUUGCAGACUUGGCAAACAAACCCAGUUACCUUAUCCUACCAGUGAGUCGGUAUCUCAGUGUCCUUUUGACUUAGUUCAUUCCGAUGUCUGGGGUCUUGCUCCCUUUGAUUCGAAAGGUGGCCAUAUCUACUAUGUUUUGUUUAUUGAUGAUUUCUCUCGCUAC
rnacentral:rRNA from 1 species